rnacentral:rRNA from 1 species
AGAGUUCGAUUAUGGCUCAGGACGAACGCUGGCGGCGUGCCUAACACAUGCAAGUCGAACGAAGCUCGAAGCUCUGAGAUUUCGGUCAAGGAGCCUAGAUGACUUAGUGGCGAACGGGUGAGUAAUGCGUGAGCAACCUGCCUUUCAGAGGGGGACAACAGUUGGAAACGACUGCUAAUACCGCAUAACGUAUCCGGUAGGCAUCUACUGGAUACCAAAGGAGCAAUCCGCUGAAAGAUGGGCUCACGUCUGAUUAGCUAGAUGGCGGGGUAACGGCCCACCAUGGCGACGAUCAGUAGCCGGUCUGAGAGGAUGAACGGCCACAUUGGGACUGAGAUACGGCCCAG